rnacentral:tRNA from 1 species
AGGUUGCAGAAACGUGUAGGCCGGAUUAGGCGCUAGCCGCCAUCCGGCAAUCCCUCAGAUUUAUUCCUCGAAGUUAU